GACGAACGCUGGCGGCGUGCCUAAUACAUGCAAGUUGAGCGCUGAAGGUUGGUACUUGUACCAACUGGAUGAGCAGCGAACGGGUGAGUAACGCGUGGGGAAUCUGCCUUUGAGCGGGGGACAACAUUUGGAAACGAAUGCUAAUACCGCAUAAAAACUUUAAACACAAGUUUUAAGUUUGAAAGAUGCAAUUGCAUCACCCAAAGAUGAUCCCGCGUUGUAUUAGCUAGUUGGUGAGGUAAAGGCUCACCAAGGCGAUGAUACAUAGCCGACCUGAGAGGGUGAUCGGCCACAUUGGGACUGAGACACGGCCCAAACUCCUACGGGAGGCAGCAGUAGGGAAUCUUCGGCAAUGGACGAAAGUCUGACCGAGCAACGCCGCGUGAGUGAAGAAGGGUUUCGGAUCGUAAAACUCUGUUGGUAGAGAAGAACGUUGGUGAGAGUGGAAAGCUCAUCAAGUGACGGUAACUACCCAGAAAGGGACGGCUAACUACGUG
rnacentral:rRNA from 1 species